rnacentral:lncRNA from 1 species
GACCCCUAAACCUGACCCCAACCCUAACAAUGACCCAAACCCCAACAGCUACACUUACAACAGCAGACUUACUUCUGACCUUUGUAAAAGGUAAAGGGACCCCUGACCGUUAGUUCCAGUCGUAGCCGACUCUGGGGUUGCAGCGCGCAUCUCUCUUUGUUGGCAGGAGCCAGCAUACAGCUUCCUGCUCAUGUGGCCAGCAUGACUAAGCCACUUCUGGCGAACCAGGGCAGCGCACAUAAACGCUUUCAAACUGCUAGGCUGGCAAGAGCAGGGAUCCAUCAGCAGGAGCUCACCCCAUGGCGGGGAUUCGGACCACCAACCUUCUGAUCUGCAAGUCCUAGGAUCUGUACUUUAACCCACAGCGCCACCGUCGUCGCUUCUUUCUGACCAUUGACCCCUACUUAAAAACUAGAUUUUCCAUGGACCUCGUUAGUCCAACCACAAAUUGUCCAAGCUAGUUUUGCAUCUGGCUAGAAGUACAUUUUUCAUUGCAGAAAACUUCUCAUAAAGAGAUUUUUCCCCCAGCUGCGGCCUCUGGUAUACCUUGCAGAGCAUCCCAAAACAAAGCUGUCUUCCUGACCCAGGGCUUAGGGGAAUUAGGGUUAGGGGAUAAAGACUAUAAUUUUUUGGGAAGCCUGUUUAUUCUGACACUGAUGUUGGUGAAGGAAACCACAGACUGAUCCUGGUGCAAGUGCAGGAGACAGGGGUCCCAUCCCAACGCUCACCCCCUCAAACCCAGAAGAUCCCAAGACAAUUUGGCUCCUACCGUUCUCUGUAUGGAUGCUGCUCCUCUUCCAAGCAGGUGCUGAAGGUGGGAUGAAGACCACCUUCUCUCCAUCUCCCCCUUCUUCCCUUAAGUGUGAAUAGGGAAGCCCACCCAUUUCAGAAACCCUUUUGUUCCCCCAUCCUUUUGUUCCCCCACCAUGCAUAAGUAGGCUUGUGCCAAAAACAUAAGGGUGAUAAUAACUACACAAGAUCUAACAUUGAGGAACGAAGAACAGAGAAUUAUCAGUAGGCCCAAUUUCUUUAAGAUGAACUAAAAGAGUAGGCGUAUAAGAGGCACCCAUCGUUUGUACUGCAUCGUUUUCUUCACAAAGUUCUGUUUCUUCUUUCUCAAGCAUAUUCCAAAGAAUCAUAUGAUCCUACAUACAUAUCUACAUCUGGAAGGGACCACGAGGGUCAUCCAGCCCAGCCCAGGGCAAGGCAGGAAUAUGCAGGAGAACCAGCAAACUUGGUUGUGCCAUCAGUGUUGCCCUAUCAAAUGGCACUUUUAAGGCAAUUUAAACUGCAGCUGCAAGGUGCGCCAUGAAGCACCCCUUGCCAUCCCCUUUUGCUGACUGGGAGCGGAGGAGGUGCUGCUUACAGUCUCCCCAGGAGCUUUUCAACAGUCAGGAGGAGGCCUGAAGCCUUCGGGGGGAUCGAACAUCUGCUAAGAACAUUUAUACCUCCAGAAAAGAAAACAACCAUGAGCCUGCUCUAAGGGAAUGCUCAUGAGUGUAUAAAGUGUAUUUUGUUUAAAACACCUCUCAACAUUACAAACUGCUGCAAAUUUCCAAAACGCAUACAUCCGUGCCAGUAUUUCUCAAUGUAAAUGAUUCAACUGGCUUUUGGUUUUGGCCCCUGUUGCAGGGGCUCAGCCCACUUAGUCUCCUGCCAUUGGGGCUCUCAGCCUAGGUGCAUGGUGGGGGACAGUCUUAAAUCUUUGCACAGUUGAAUUUUAAGGACUGACACAAACACUACCAAACUGUAUUAAGACAUUACUAAAUGCUAGGGUUUCCAUUUUUGGAGAGACCAUGGGAAAGUGCAAUCUCCCUGACCACCGAGGAAGAGACUGUUCUCUGGGAGGCUACCAGUGUUACGAGUGUGAGGAGAGGAAGAGAGACACUCCACCCAGCUGUUUGAGCUGAAAUCCACCUUUCGAGAAGGCAGGUGCACCUCUGGAAAGGACCAGGCCGUGUGGAGGUGUAGGGACUGUGCGUUCUUACCCAUUUACUUCUUGCUGCUAAGAAGCUUUUCCAGUGGAUGGAAGUGCACUUAGGCAGAUGUAGCUGCCUUUUGUAACUUCAUGGAGAUGUCUGGCAGCUGCCUUGCCUCUUUUUCUUUUUUCCUUUCGCUGCCACGCUGCUGGUGAAUCAAGUGUUUGGUUGAAGGAGCUGUUUGGAUCUUGUGCCCAAAGAUCCCCUUUCCUGCUCUCACUCCACAAGACGGCAGCAGGAGGCCCCUGGCAUUUUGGGGGCACUGGCAUCUGGUCUGAAAAGAUCCCCUCUUCUCCCUCCCUCUGUCCGGCGAAACUUCCCCCUUCCUUGUCCUCCCCCUUUUUGGGAGAAGGAAUUCAGCACAGCCCUUUGAGACCUGAGAAAUAUCAGGGGUGGUCGUUUAUUUCAAGAACUGAAAGAGGGGUCCAUGUCAAAACAGGCAUAGGAUCUGCCAAGCUCAAAUUAAUGUGCAAGGAAUAAUAAAGCUGCUUACAGGAAGUGAAGUGACUAUCCCAUCAUACAACUAACUGUAAAGAAUGAUGGUAUAUAAACCUCUGGAAGGGACCCCAAGGGUCAUCCAGUCCAACCCGCUGCAUCGCAGGAACAUGCAGAAGUCCCUUACGGGGAACAAUCCUGCAACCUUUGAAGGCUACUUAGGAAGCAAACAUAGCCAUCCACUAUUCUUGACUGGAAACAGAGGAAGUUCUACUUACAUCCUCCCUGGGAGCAUUUCAACAGUCAGGGGGUGACCCGGACCCCUAAGCCUAACUCCAAGCCUCUCCCUAACCCCGACCCUAACAACCCAAACCCAAACCCCUAGACAUAAAACAGCAGAAUUACAACUUCUGACCUUUGUCAAAGGUAAAGGUAAAGGGACCCCUGACCAUUAGGUCCAGUCAUGGCCGACUCUGGGGUUGCACCACACAUCUCGCUUUAUUGGCCGGUGUACAGCUUCCAGGUCAUGUGGCAAAACAUGACUAAGUAGUUGGCCAUCAUACAACUAACCUGGAGGUAUGUUUCUCUGUCUCUUCUUUGUGUGGCACUUUACAACUCUUGGGAAUAUGCAGGCGUCCCUUAUGGAGAUUCCCCUGCAACCUUGGUGUUCACAGUACCAAAAGCUGUUAGCAUUUAACUGUUAGGUGUCACAGCCAAAAAUGAGGCGCCUUUGCCAUCAUACAACUAACUUAAAGGAAGGCUAUUUCUGGUUAUUUCUGAAGCACAUUCCAAAGAAUCAUAUGAUAGUGUAUAUAUCUAACUGGAAGGGACCCCAAGGGUCAUCCAGCCCAACCCACUGCAAGGCAGGAAUAUGCAGAAUAACCACUAACCUUGGUUGUGCUGUCAUGGUUGCCCUAUGAAAUGGCACUUUUAUGGCAAUUUAAACUGCAGCUGCAAGUUGCGCCAUGAAGCACCCCUUGCCAUCCCCUUUUGCUGACUGGGAGCGGAGGAGGUGCUGCUUACAGUCUCCCCAGGAGCUUUUCAACAGUCAGGAGGAGGCCUGAAGCCUUCGGGGGGGAUUGAACAUCUGCUGAGAACAUUUAUGCCUCCAGAAAAGGAAAAAACAAUGGUCCUGCUCUAAGGGAAUGCUCAUGAGUGUAUAAGUGCUGCUCUUUAAAACACCUCUCUUAACAUUACAAACUGCUGCAAAUUUCCAAAACGCAUACAUCCGUGCCAGUGUUUGUCAACGUAAAUGAUUCAACUGGCCCUUGGUUUUGGCCCCCGUUGCAGGGGCUCAGCCCACUUAGUCUCCUGCCAUUGGGGCUCCCAGCCUAGGUGCAUGGCGGGGGAGAGGCUUAAAUCUUUGCAGUUGAUUUUUAAGGACUGACACACAAACACACACCCCAAAACUAUAUUAAGACAUUACUAAAUGCUAAGGUUUCCAUUUUUGGAGAGACCGUGGGAAAGUGCCAUCUCCCUGACCAUCGAGGAAUAGAGACUGUUCUCUGGGAGGUUGCCAGGGUUACGGGUGUGAGGAGAGGAAGAAAGACUUUUCACCCAGCUGUUUGAGCUGAAAUCCCUUUGGAGAAGGCAGGCUGCACCUCUGGAAAGGACCAGGCCGUGUGGAGGUGUAGGGACUGUGCGGUCUUACCGAUUUAGAGAGAUAGCUAGGUAUUGCCCACCUUUCCCAUUACUUCUUGCUGCUAAGAAGCUUUUCCAGUGGAUGGAAGUGGACUUAGGCAGAUGUAGCAUUCGACAUAAAGGAAUAAAGCAGAGCCCAUGCAGGCAACCCAUCUUUUUCCACUGCAGCCUUGUCUCUUUUUCUUCUCUUUCCUUUCACUGCCACGCUGCUGGGCGAAUCAGGUGUUUGGUUAAAGGAGCUGUUUGGGACUUGUCUCAAAAGAUCCCCUUUCCGCCUCUCACCCCACAUGGCAGCAGCAGGAGGGCACCUCUUCUCCCUCCAUCAGGCAAAACUUCCCCCUUCCUUCUCCUCCCCCUUCUUCUGAGCAAGAAUUCAGCACGCCCCAUAGAGACCUAAGAAAUAACGGGGGGGGGGGGGGGCGACUGAAUAGGGGUCCGUGUAAAAACAGGCACAGGAUCUGCAAGCUCCAAUUAACGUGCAAGGAAUAAUAAGGGAGCUCACAGGAAGUGAGGCUACUUUCCCAUCAUACAACUAACUUUGAGGAACACUAUUUCUCUUUCAUCUUUCUGAAGCCCUUUCCAAAGAAUAACCAUGGUAUGUAAACCUCUGGAAAGGACCACAAGGGUCAUCCAGUCCAACCCGCUGCAUCGCAGGAACAUGCAGGAGUCCCUUAUGGGGGAAAAUCCUAACAUCUUGGUUGUGCAGCUAAUGUUCCUCUCUUAAACGGCACUUUGAAGGCUACUUCAGGGAUCCCCACCUCUCCUGCAGCUGCAAGUUCAGCCAGGAAGCAAACAUGGCCAUCCACUAUUCUUGACUGGAAACAGAGGAAGUGCUGCUUACAUCCUCCCUGGGAGCAUUAAGGUAAAGGGACCCCUGACCAUUAGGUCCAGUCACGGACGACUCUGGGGUUGCAGCGCUCAUCUCGCUUUACUGCCCGACAGAGCCGGCGUACAGCAUGACUAAGCCGCUUCUGGCGAACCAGAACAGCGCACGGAAAUGCCGUUUACCAUCCCGCCGGAGCGGUACCCAUUUAUCUACUUGUACUUCGAACUGCUAGGUUGGCAGCAGCAAGGACCCUGCAAAGGGAGCUCACUCCGUCGCGGGGAUUCGAACCGCCAACCUUCUGAUUGCCAAGUCCUAGGCUCGGUGGUUUAACCCACAGCGACACCUGCAUCUCAUAACUUAAAGGAAUGCUAUUUCUGUUUCAUCUUUCUAAAGCACAUUCCAAAGAAUCAUAUGAUGCUGCAUUUAUAUCUAUAUCUGGAAGGGACCUCAUCGGUCAUCCAGCCCAACCCACUGCAAGGCAGGAAUAUGCAGGAGAAUAACCACUAACCUUGGUUGUGCUGUCAGUGUUGCCGGAUUAAAUGGCACUUUCAAGGCAAUUUAAACUGCAGCUUCAAGUUGCGCCAUGAAGCACCCCUUGCCAUCCCCUUUUGCUGACUGGGAGCGGAGGAGGUGCUGCUUACAGUCUCCCCAGGAGCAUUUCAACAGUCAGGAGGAGGCCUGAAGCCUUCGGGGGGAUUGUACAUCUGCUAAGAACAUUUAUGCCUCCAGAAAAGGAAAAAACAAUGGUCCUGCUCUAAGGGAAUGCUCAUGAGUGUAUAAGUGCUGCUCUUUAAAACACACCUCUUAACGUUACAAACUGCUGCAAAUUUACAAGACGCAUACAAAUACGUGCCAGUAUUUGUCAAUGUAAAUGAUUCAAUUGGCUUUUGGCUUUGGCCCCUGUUGCAGGGCUCAGCCCACUUAGUCUUGUGCCAUUGGGGCUCCCAGCCUAGGUGCAUGGCAGGGGACAGUCUUAAAUGUUUGCAGUUGAUUUUUAAGGACUGACACACACAAACACACACCCCAAAACUGUAUUAAGACAUUACUAAAUGCUAAGGUUUCCAUUUUUGGAGAGACCGUGGGAAAGUGCCAUCUCCCUGACCAUCGAGGAAUAGAGACUGAUCUCUGGGAGGUUGCCAGGGUUACUGGUGUGAGGAGAGGAAGAGAGACACUUCACUCAGCUGUUUGAGCUGAAAUCCACCUUUCGAGAAGGCAGGCUGCACCUCUGGAAAGGACCAGGCCUUGUGGAGGUGUAGGGACUGUGUGGUCUUACCGAUUUAGAGAGAUAGCUAGGUAUUGCCCACUGUUCCCUUUACUCCUUGCUGCUAAGAAUCUUUUCCGGUGGAUGGAAGUGGACUUAGGCAGAUGUAGCAUUCGACAUAAAGGAAUAAAGCAGAGCCCAUGCAGGCAACCCAUCUUUUUCCACUGCAGCCUUGCCUCUUUUUCUUCUCUUUCCUUUCGCUGCCACGCUGCUGGGCGAAUCAGGUGUUUGGUUAAAGGAGCCGUUUGGAUCUCGUCUCAAAAGAUCCCCUUUCCCCCUCUCGCCACUCUUCUCCCUCCCUCUGUCAAGCAAAACGUCCCCCUUCCUUCUCCUUCCACUUUUUGGGAGAAGGAAUUCAGCACAGCUCAGAGACCUGAGAAAUAACGGGGGGGGGGGGGCAGAUUUUUUCUAGAACCGAAAGAGGGGUCCAUGUAAAAACAGGCAGAGGAUCCGCCAAGCUCAAACUAAAGUGAAGGAAUAAUAAGGGAGCUCACAGAAAGCGAGGCGACUUUCCUGUGUUAGGCUGCAACUAACUUUAAGGAACGCUAUUUCUCUUUCUUCUUUCUGAAGCUCUUUCCAAAGAAUAAUGAUGGAAUAUAAACCUCUGGAAGGGACCCCAAGGGUCAUCCAGUCCAACCCGUUGCAUUGCAGCAGUCCCUUACGGGAAACAAUCCCGCAACCUUGGUUGUGCAGCGAAUGUUGCACUCUUAAAUGGCACAUUGAAGGCUACUUCAGGGAUCCACACCUCUUCCGGAGCUGCAAGUUCACCCAGGAAGCCAACAUGACCAUCACUAUUCUUGACUGGAAACAGAGGAAGUGCUGCUUAUUCUUCCUGGGAGCAUUUCAACAGUCAGGGGGAGGCCCUGACCCCUAAGCCUAACCCCAAGCUUCUCCAAACGAGAGUUAUAUGUGUGAGCAUGCAAGCAGGUAAACCAAGGGUUAGGGUGUUGCCCCAGUAUCUCCUUGUAAGGAAAUGGAGGGUGAUCAUCAGCAAUGGAGGCAGAGCUAACUAGUUCACCCCUUCUCUUCCCAUCCCUGAGUUCUACAUCAGGGGUGAGGAACUUGCAGUCCAUCUGAUGUUUUUGGACUCCAACUCUGAUGAUAGGAAGCCAUCCCAGUUUCUGAUUUCAUCCCAGAAUGUCCCACUUUUCCUUAGGUAAAGGGACCCCUGACCAUUAGGUCCAGUCGCAGACAACUCUGGGGUUGCGGCGCGCAUCUUGCUUUACUGGCCAUGGGAGCCGGUGUACAGCUUCCGGGUCAUGUGGCCAGAAGGACUAAGGCACUUCUGGUGAACCAGAGCAGCGCACAGAAACACCGUUGACCUUCCUGCCGGAGCGGUACCUAUUUAUCUCCUUGCACUUUAACGUGCUUUUGAACUGCUAGGUUGGUAGGAGCAGGGACCGAGCAAUGGGAGCUCACCCCAUCGUGCGGAUUCGAACCGCCGACCUUCUGAUCGGCAAGUCCUAGGCUCUGUGGUUUAACCCACAGCGCCACCCGCGUCCCUUCUUUCUGACCUUUGACCCCUAGUUAAAAACUAGACUUUCCGUGGCCUUCUUUACUCCAACCCCAAAUUAUCCAGGUUGUUGUGCACCUGUCUAGAAGUAACAAACAUCUCGUAAAGAGAUUUCUCUGCACCUGCGGCCUCAGGUGUGCAUUGCAGGGCAGCCCCAAAACAAAACUGUCUUCCUGACCCUGGGGUUAGGGGAAUUAGGGAAAUUAGGGUAUAAAGACUAUACUUUUGGGGAAGCCUGUUUAUUCUGACAUUGGCGUUGGUGAAGGAAACCACAGACUGAUCCUGGUGAAAGCGCACUGUUUUAGGAGACAGGGGUCCCAUCCCACGCUCACCCUCUCUAACCCAGAGGAUCCCAAGACAAUUUGUCUCCUACCAUUCUCUGUAUGGGUGCUGCUCCUCUUGCGGGCAGGCGCUGAAGGUAGGAUGAAGACCUUUUCCACCAUGAUUGGGGGGGGAGACAGAUUGGGGGGAGAACACAAAGCGUUCCCUCUAUCUCCCCCUUCUGCCCUGAAGUGUGUACAGGGAAGCCCACUCACUUCAGAUACCCUCGUUUUUCCCCACCUUUUUCUUUACCAUGCAUAAGUAGACUUGUGCCUGAUACAUAAGGAUUAUAAAAAUCCACAAAACUAUCAGUGGACCUGAUUUCUUUCAGAUGAACUGAACGAGUAGGAGUAUAAAACAGGCACCCAUCAUUUGUAUUGCUAUGCAAGACAGAAUAAAGUAGCCAGCAGGGAAGGGAAAGUGGUUGGCCAUCAUACAACUAACCUAGAGGUAUGUUUUACUGCUUAUUCUUUGUGUGGCACUUUGCAGCUCUUAGGAAUGUGCAGGCGUCCCUUAUAGAGAUCUCCCUGCAACCUUGGUGUUCACAGUACCAAAAGGUAGUAGCAUUUAACUGUUAGGUGUCACAGCCUAGUGAGGCAACUUUGCCAGCAUAAAGGUAAAAGGACCCCUGACCAUUAGGUCCUGUUGUGGCCGACUCUGGGGUUGCGUCGCUCAUCUCGCUUUACUGGCCAAGGGAGCCGGUGUACAGCUUCCGGGUCAUGGGGCCAGCAUGACUAAGCCGCUUCUGGCGGACCAGAACAGCGCAUGGAAACGCAGUUAACCUUCCUGCCAGAGCAUUUGUCUACUUGCACUUUGACGUGCUUUCGAACUGCUAGGUUGGCAAGAGCAGGGACCCAGCAAAGGGAGCUCACCCCAUUGCGGGGAUUCGAACCGCUGACCUUCUGAUCGGCAAGUCCUAGGCUCUGCGGUUUAACCCACAGCGUCCGUAACUUAAAGGAAUGCUAUUUCUGUUUCUUCUUUCUGAAACCACCAACCUUGGUUGUGCUGUCAGUGUUGCCCUAUGAAAUGGCACUUUUAAGGCAAUUUAAACUGCAGCUGCAAGUUGCGCCAUGAAGCACCCCUUGCCAUCCCCUUUUGCUGACUGGGAGCGGAGGAGGUGCUGCUUACAGUCUCCCCAGGAGCAUUUCAACAGUCAGGAGGAGACCUGAAGCCUUUGGGGGGGGGGAUUGUACAUCUGCUAAGAACAUUUAUGCCUCCAGAAAAGGGAAAAAACCAUGAGCCUGCUCUAAGGGAAUGCUCAUGAGUAUAUAAGUGCUGUUCUUUAAAACACACCUCUUAACGUUACAAACUGCUGCAAAUUUACAAGACGCAUACAAAUACGUGCCAGUAUUUGUAAAUGUAAAUGAUUCAACUGGCUUUUGGUUUUGGCCCCUGUUGCAGGGGCUCAGCCCACUUAGUCUUGUGCCAUUGGAGCUCCCAGCCUAGGUGCACAGCGGGGGAGAGGCUUAAAUCUUUGCACAGUUGAAUUUUAAGGACUGACACACACAAACACCCCCAAUCUGUAUUAAGACAUUACUAAAUACUAGCGUUUCAAUUUUUAGAGCGACCGUGAGAAAAUACAAUCUCCCUGACCAUCGAGGAAUAGAGACUGUUUCUGGGAGGUUGCCAGGGUUACGGGUGUGAGGAGGGGAAGAGAGACUUUUCACCCAGCUGUUUCAGCUGAAAUCCACCUUUGGAGAAUGCAGGCUGCACCUCUGGAAAGGACCAGGCCUUGUGGAGGUGUAGGGACUGUGUGGUCUUACCGAUUUAGAGAGAUAGCUAGAUAUUGCCCAGCGUUCCCUUUGCUCCUUGCUAAGAAGCUUUUCCAGUGGAUGGAAGUGCACUUAGGCAGAUGUAGCUGCCUUUUGCAACUCCACAGAGAUGUCUGGCAGCUGCCUUGCCUCUUUUUCUUCUCUUUCCUUUCGCUGCCACGCUGCUGGGCGAAUCAGGUGUUUGGUUAAAGGAGCUGUUUGGAUCUUGUGCCCAAAGAUCCCCUUUCCUGCUCUCGCCCCACAAGACGGCAGCAGGAGGGCCCUGGCACUGGCACCUUUGGGGCACUGGCAUCUUGUCUCAAAAGAUUCCCUCUUCUCCCUCCCUCCGUCAGGCGAAGCUUCCCCUUCUCCUUCCCUUUUUUGGGAUCAGGAAUUCAGCACGCCCCAUAGAGACCUGAGAAAUAAAAGGGGGGCAGAUUUUUUCCAGAAUCACUGAAAGAGGGGUCCGUGUAAAAAUAGGCACAGGAUCUGCCAAGCUCCAAUUAACGUACAAGGAAUAACAAAGGAGCUCACAGGAAGCAAGGCUUCUUUCCCAUCAUACAACUAACUUUAAGGAACGCUAUUUCUCUUUCUUCUUUCUGAAGCCCUUUCCAAAGAACAAUGAUAGAAUAUAAACCUCUGGAAGGGACCCCAAGGGUCAUCAAGUCCAACUUGCUGCAUUGCAGGAACAUGCAGGAGUCCCUUAUGGGGAACAAUCCUGCAAACUUGAUUGUGCAGCAAAUGUUGCCCUCUUAAAUGGCACACCUCUCCUGCAGCUGAAGCCAACAAGGCCAUCACUAUUCUGGACUGGAAACAGAGGAACUGCUGCUUACAUCCUCCCUGGGAGCAUUUCAGCAGUCAGGGGGAGGCCCUGACCGCUAAGCCUAACCCCAACCCUAACAAUGACCCAAACCCCAAGCACUAGACUUACAACAGCAGACCUACAACUUCUGACCUUUGUCAAAGGUAAAGGGACCCCUGACCAUUAGGUCCAGUCGUGGCCGACUCUGGGGUUGCGGUGCACAUCUCACUUUAUUGGCCGGCACACAGCUUCCGGGUCAUGGGGCCAACAUGACUAAGCCGCUUCUGGCAAACCAGAGCAGAGCACGGAAACGCCGUUUACCUUCCUGCCUGAGCGGUACCUAUUUAUCUCCUUGCACUUUAACGUGCUUUCAAACUGCUAGGUUGGCAGGAGCAGAGACCCAGCAACGGGAGCUCACCCCAUCGCACGGAUUCGAACUGCCAACCUUCUGAUCGGCAGGUCCUAGGCUCUGUGGUUUAACCCACAGCGCCACCUGCGUCCCUUCUUUCUGACCUUUGACCCCUAGUUAAAAACUACUUUCCGUGGCCUUCUUUACUCCAACCCCAAAUUGUCCAGGUUGUUGUGCACCUGUCUAGAGGAACCAUUUUCAUUAGGGAAAACAUCUCAUAGAGAGAUUUUUCUGCACCUGCAGCCUCAGAGCAUAGGCAAGUGUGCAUUGCAGGGCACUCCCAAAACAAAACUGCCUUCCUGACCCCAGGGUUAGGGGAAUUUGGGAAUUUAGGGUAGAAAGACUAUACUUUUUUGCAAGCCUGUUUAUUCUGACUCGUUUCUACACUUGUGUAUGCACUGCACACUGGUGUUGGUGAAGAAAACCCUCACCCCUCCAUACCCAGAAGAUCCCUGGACAAUUUGGCUCCUACCGUUCUCUGUAUGGGUGCUGCUCCUCUUCCGGGCAGGCACUGAAGGUGGGACUUUGUCCGCCAUGAUUAGGUAGGGAAGACAGAUUAGGGGGGAGAAGGUAGAGCGUUCCCUCGAUCUCCCCCUUCUGCCCUGAAGUGUGUGCAGGGAAGCCCACUCAUUUCAGAAACCCUCGUUUUCCCCCACCCUUUCGUUUUCCAUGCCUAAGUAGGCUUAUGCACGAAACAUAUGGGUGAUAAUAGAUCCACAAAAUCUGACAUUAAGGAACACAGCAAACCUGCGGGCCUGAUUUCUUUCAGAUGAACUGAGGAGUAUAUAACAGGCACGCAUCGUUUGUAUUGCUAUGCAAGACAGAAUAAAGUAGCAGGCUGGGAAGGGAAAGUGGUUGGCCAUCAUACAACUAACCGGGAGGUAUGUUUUACUGGUUCUGCUUUCUGUGGCACUUUGCAGCUCUUAGGAAUAUGCAGGCGUCCCUUAUGGAGAUCCCCCUGCAACCUUGGUGCUCAUACUAAGCGCUCACAUCCUAUGAUGCUGCAUAUAUAUCUAUAUCUGGAAGGGACCCCAAAGGUCAUCCAGCCCAGCCCACGGCAAGGCAGGAAUAUGCAGAAGAAAAACCACCAACAUUGGUUGUGCUGUCAGUGUUGCCCUAUCAAAUGGCACUUUUAAGGCACUUUAAACUGCAGCUGCAAGUUGCGCCAUGAAGCAUAUCUUGCCACCCCCUUUUCCUGACUGGGAGCGGAGGAGGUGCUGCUUACAGUCUCCCCAGGAGCUUUUCAACAGUCAGGAGGAGGCCUGAAGCCUUCGGGGGGAUU